GAAAGGAGAAAACCGUUUCUUGAAUGGAGAUGCAAUUCAGCCCUAAAUCAAGGCCCGAAUCGAACGGAAAACGUUGCAUGAAUGAAGAUUUCUCACCAUCUAGCUUGAACAAACAUGUGUAUAGGAUCAUGUCAAGGUGGGUGGAAGCGUGGAAGGCUAAUGGGAAGGAUGCGAGGAAGCAAGUACGAAACGGACGCUUAAGGUUACAGAUAUUCAUGAUGGACAAGUGAACGAGGGUCGAGUUGAAGAUCAUGGAUUGUACGGGAAAGUGGUCACGUUGUUGUAAUUAUUUGUUAACAUAGUUACAUUAAAUAAAUGAUGAAUGAUGUAUUUAUGUUAGAAGGGUUGACCUAAACGGUAUUUAAGUAUGUUAUAGUAGUUAAAAGAAAGAAAUUUUACGGUUCAUUU